rnacentral:rRNA from 1 species
UAGCCUUGACAUACCAAAAAGAUUUCAGAGAUGAGAUUGUGCCUGCUUGCAGGAAUUUGGAUACAGGUGCUGCACGGCUGUCGUCAGCUCGUGUCGUGAGAUGUUGGGUUAAGUCCCGCAACGAGCGCAACCCUCGUCCUUAGUUGCUAACAGUUCGGCUGAGCACUCUAAGGAGACUGCCUUCGUAAGGAGGAGGAAGGUGAGGACGACGUCAAGUCAUCAUGGCCCUUAUGGCUAGGGCUACACACGUGCUACAAUGGAUAAGACAAAUAGUCGCAAUACCGCGAGGUGGAGCAAAUCUAUAAACUUAUUCUCAGUUCGGAUAGCAGUCUGCAACUCGACUGCUUGAAGCUGGAAUCGCUAGUAAUCGUAAAUCAGCAAUGUUACGGUGAAUACGUUCCCGGGUCU